UCUGGUUGAUCCCGCCAGAGGUCACUGCUAUCGGUGUUCGAUUAAGCCAUGCGAGUCGAGAGGUGUUAUGGCCUCGGCGGACUGCUCAGUAACACGUGGAUAACCUACCCAAGAGUCUGGGAUAACCCCGGGAAACUGGGGAUAAUACCGGAUAGAUCAUCUUUGCUGGAAGGCUUGGUGGUUGAAACCUCUGGGGCUUUUGGAUGGGUCUGCGGCUGAUUAGGUUGUUGCCGGUGUAAUGUACCGUCAAGCCUGUAAUCAGUACGGGUUGUGGGAGCAAGAGCCCGGAGAUGGAUUCUGAGACACGAAUCCAGGCCCUACGGGGCGCAGCAGGCGCGAAAACUCUACAAUGCAGGCAACUGCGAUAGGGGAACAUCGAGUGAUCCUCAUAUUGGGGGUCUGUCCACCCGCCUAAAAAGCGGGUGUUAGCAAGGGCCGGGCAAGACCGGUGCCAGCCGCCGCGGUAAUACCGGCGGCUCGAGUGGUGGCCGAUAUUAUUGAGUCUAAAGGGUCCGUAGCCGGCUUUGCAAGUCUCUCGGGAAAUCCAGCGGCUUAACCGUUGGUCGUCCGGGGGGUACUACAUUGCUUGGGACUGGGAGAGGCGAGAGGUACUCAGGGGGUAGGAGUGAAAUCCUGUAAUCCUCUGGGGACCACCGGUGGCGAAGGCGUCUCGCCAGAACAGGUCCGACGGUGAGGGACGAAAGCUAGGGGCACGAACCGGAUUAGAUACCCGGGUAGUCCUAGCCGUAAACGAUGCUCGCUAGGUGUCACAACAGUCGUGAACUGUUGUGGUGCCGUAGGGAAGCCGUGAAGCGAGCCACUUGGGAAGUACGACCGCAAGGUUGAAACUUAAAGGAAUUGGCGGGGGAGCACCACAACGGGUGGAGCCUGCGGUUUAAUUGGACUCAACGCCGGGAAGCUUACCGGGAUCGACAGUUGUAUGAAGGCCAGGCUGAAGACCUUGCCGGACUAUCUGAGAGGAGGUGCAUGGCCGCCGUCAGUUCGUACCGUGAGGCGUCCUGUUAAGUCAGGCAACGAGCGAGACCCA
rnacentral:rRNA from 1 species